rnacentral:lncRNA from 1 species
GAAGGGAGAGGACCUAGCUAAGGCUAGGUUCGAACCCACACGCGCGCGCCGCCGCCGCUGUCCGGGUCCUGUAUAUAAUUUUUUAGACAAAAUUUAUUUAAAUUUUUAAUUAAAAUUUAUUUAAAUUUUAUUUAUUUAAUUCUAUUAUCAAAACUGUGUCGUUUUGAAAGCUGUAUUUAUUAUAUUAUCAAAACUGUGUCGUUUUGAGGAAGCGGUAUCUGUAAGUUUAAACGGGCGGCCCAAAUCUACGUCGAUUUGUCGCGCCUUUUCUUAUAAGCCUAAAACUACGUAGUUUUGGUUCUGCUAACAGUUAAACUACGUCGUUUUAAUAAACUGAAUAGUUGCGCCUAUUCUAUAAAUGAUCAAAACAACGUCGUUUUGACCAAUAGAUACAAAUAAUACCUUUACAAAAGGCACCCCAUGCCUUUUCAGUGGUGAGGUGCCCAUCCAAAGGGUCACCAACCCUCCUAUAAAUAGAUAGGAGGGGGCAGCCUUCAUUUCCAUCGAAUUUUCAAGCAUUCUAGUCUUCUAAAGCAUUCUAGCAUAUAGUUCUUCAUCAGUUUCCUUAGUGUUUUUGAGAGAGUCCGAGCAUUUCUUUUGGUUCGUUGUGUAUACUUUUUGUAGUGCUGCUAAGGUAUACGAAGUCAUUGUAUCCUAGGAGACAAGUGCUAUCAACUCUGAGUACCAUACAGAGGGCAUAAUUGUCUUAAGGACAUAGUACAAAGUACUAGCCUUGACAUAUUACUUUCUACAAGAUAAGUUCAUAUAAAUAUAUAUAUAAUUUCCUUUAUAGGUUUCUAACAAUCUUAAGACAAUUAUCUUUAUAUAUAUAUUUGUAAGAAAUAUGGAUACCAAUUCUGUUACUAUAAUUGGUUCUUCUUCUAUACCAAAUGUUCCUGUGAACCAUGGUGAAAAACCAGAGAAGUUUAAUGGAACGGAAUUUAAAAGAUGACAACAAAAGAUGUUUUAUCUAACAACUUUGAACUUAGCAAGGUUUCUUCACGAAGAUCCCCCUGUGCUCAAAGAAGAUGAAACAGACCGGUAAAUUGUUGCUGCAAUAGAUGCAUGGAAACAUGCAGAUUUUUUGUGCCAAAAUUAUAUCCUUAAUGGAUUAGAUAACACAUUAUAUAAUGUGUAUAGUUCUCUCAAAACAGCAAGAGAAUUAUGGGAUUCCUUGGAUAAAAAGUAUAAAACAGAAGAUGUUGGCACGAAGAAAUUCGUAGUUGGCAGGUUUUUGGACUACAAAAUGGUGGAUUCCAAGGCAGUCAUCAACCAAGUCCAAGAAUUACAGGUAAUCCUGCAUGAAAUACAUGCAGAAGGUAUGUCUCUAAGUGAAUCUUUCCAAGUUGCUGCUAUUAUAGAAAAACUACCACCUAUGUGGAAAGAUUUUAAAAAUUAUCUCAAGCAUAAACGCAAAGAGAUGAAACUUGAAGACUUAAUCGUAAGAUUAAGGAUAGAAGAGGACAACCGUGCCUCUGAAAAGAAAACAGGAAGGGUCUUUGUAGAAUAUAAAGCAAACGUGGUGGAACAAGGUCCGAAGUCAAAAAAGAGGAAAUUCUCCGGGAAUGGGCCUCAGCAGGGAACAAAUAAAAAGUUCCAAGGCAAAUGCUACAUCUGUGACAAGCCCAGACAUAGGGCAAAGGAUUGUCGAAAACGUAAAGACCAGAACAAGAAGUCUGCACAAGCCAACGUAACGGAAGUGGAUGGUCUUCUUCAAGAUGUUUCUGAAAUGAACCUCUCAGCGGUUGUUCAGAAAUAAAUAUGGUUGAGAAUCCAAGAGAAUGGUGGGUGGAUACUGGAGCAACCCGCCACGUGUGUUCCGACAGAAAGAUGUUCUCCACAUAUCAAGAAAUUGAGAAUGGCGAACAUCUAUACAUGGGAAAUUCUUCUUCAUCAAAGAUAGCUGGACAAGGAAAGGUGAUUCUGAAGAUGACAUCUGGCAAGGAACUCACCCUCAACAACGUGCUCCAUGUGCCUGAUAUUAGGAAAAAUUUAGUGUCAGGAUCCCUUCUUAGUCAAAAGGGAUUUAAACUAGUAUUUGUAUCAGACAAGUUUGUAUUAACUAAAAAUGGGAUGUAUGUGGGGAAGGGUUAUAUGAGCAAUGAGCUCUUCAAAAUGAAUGUAAUGACUGUUGUACCUUCCAAUAUUAAUAAAAUUACAUCUUCUGCUUAUAUGAUUGAGUCAUCUAAUUUAUGGCAUGGUAGAUUAGGACAUGUUAAUUAUAAUACUAUACGUAGAUUAAUUAAUAUGGAAUGUUUGCCAAAAUGUGAGAUUAACUCUAAUCAUAAAUGUGAAAUUUGCGUUGAGGCAAAACUUGGGCAAUCUUCUUUUAAAUCAAUUGAAAGAAGUACAGAACCUUUUGAAUUAAUACAUACUGAUAUUUGUGAUUUAAAGUAUAUACAAACAAGAGGAGGUAAGAAAUACUUUAUCACUUUUAUAGAUGAUUGUACAAGAUAUUGUUAUGUUUACUUAUUGAGAAGUAAAGAUGAGGCUUUGGAAAUGUUUAAACAUUAUAAAAAUGAGGUUGAAAAUCAACUUGAUAAAAAGAUCAAGACAGUUAGAAGUGAUAGAGGUGGGGAAUAUGAAUUUCCAUUUGUUGAGAUUUGUUCACAAUAUGGUAUAAUACACCAAACAACUGCACCAUAUUCACCACAACAAAAUGGUAUUGCAGAAAGAAAGAAUAGAACUUUAAAAGAAAUGAUGAAUGCAUUGUAAUUAAGUUCUGGGCUACCUCAGAAUUUGUGAGGGGAAGCAAUUCUUUCAGCAAAUUAUAUUCUUAACCGAAUACCUCAAAAGAAGUCUAAUGUUACACCCUAUGAAUUAUGGAAAGGACGUAAGCCGUCUUAUAAACAGUUAAAAGUGUAGGGGUGUUUAGCAAAAGUAAUGGUUCCUCCACCCAAAAAGGUAAAAAUAGGACCCAAAACAAUAGAUUGUAUAUUCAUUGACUACGCUAAUAAUAGCAAUGCAUAUAGAUUUUUGGUUAAUAAAUAAAAAAUAGAGGAAAUACAUGAAAAUAUGAUUAUUGAAUCAAAAGAUGCUGAAUUCUUUGAAACAGUAUUUCCUAAUAAAAAGGAACAAGAGCCAAGUUCUAAUGAACAAGAAACAAGUUCAAAUAAAAGAACUUACGAUGCUGUUAAUGACAGUAAUCAUGAUUUAGAAAAUAUUGACGAACCUAGACGUAGUAAACGUGCUAGAACAUCAAAAUCUUUUGGUCCGGAUUUUCUAACCUAUUUAUUAGAAAAUGAGCCUCAAACCUACAAAGAAGCAAUAUCGAGUCCUGAAGCUCCAUAUUAGAAAGAGGCUAUAAAUAGUGAAGUGGAAUCCAUUUUACAUAAUCAUACGUGGGAAUUAGUAGAUCUCCCACCAGGCUCUAAACCUCUUGGAUAUAAGUGGAUAUUCAAGAAGAAAAUGAAAACAGAUGGAUCUAUAGAUAAAUAUAAAGCAAGACUUGUAAUCAAAGGAUACAGGCAAAAGGAGGGUUUGGAUUAUUUUGAUACUUAUUCUCCUGUGACAAGAAUAUCCUCAAUUAGGAUGUUAAUAGCAAUUGCAGCUAUAUAUAAUUUAGAAAUACAUCAAAUGGAUGUAAAAACAGCUUUCUUAAAUGGAGAUUUAGAAGAAAAAAUCUACAUGGAACAACCAGAAGGAUUUGUUGUUCCAGGACAAGAAAAGAAAGUUUGUCGACUUGUAAAAUCUCUUUAUGGAUUAAAACAAGCACCUAAACAAUGGCAUGAAAAAUUUGACAAUGCAAUGUUAUCAAAUGGUUUCAAAAUAAAUGAGUGUGACAAAUGUGUAUAUGUCAAGGACACUAAAAAUGGGUAUGUUAUUAUUUGUCUUUAUGUAGAUGAUAUGCUUAUUAUGGGAAGUAAUAAUGAUAUCAUUAAAACUACUAAAAGAAUGUUAAAUAAUAUGUUUGACAUGAAAGACAUGGGUGUUGCUGAUGUAAUAUUAGGAAUUAAGAUUUCUAAAACAUCGAAUGGAUUAGUGUUAUCACAAUCACACUAUGUUGAGAAAAUACUCAGGAAAUUCAAUCAAUAUGAUUGUAAUCCUGUGGGAACAUCGGUAGAUAUAAAUCUACACUUGUCUAAAUAUAAAGGAGAGAGCAUAUCACAACCUGAGUAUGCACAAAUAAUUGGAAGCCUUAUGUACUUAAUGAAUUGUACACGUCCUGACAUAGCACAAGCUGUCAAUAAAUUGAGUAGAUUUACAAGCAAUCCAGGACAAGAUCACUGGAAAGCGAUUAUAAGAGUUUUAAGGUAUUUAAAAUACACUCAAAGUUUUGGAUUGCACUACUCAAGAUAUCCAGCAGUACUUGGAGGAUACUGUGAUGCGAAUUGGAUAUCGGAUACAAAAGACUCCAAAUCCACAAGUAGUUUUGUGUUUACACUAGGAGGAGGAGCAGUAUCAUGAAAAUCUUCUAAACAAACAUGCAUUGCUCGAUCAACGAUAGAAUCUGAGUUUAUUGCAUUGGAUAAGGCUGGAGAAGAAGCUGAAUGGCUUCGUAACUUUUUAGAAGAUAUUCCUAUGUGGCCUAAACCUGUGCCGCCUAUUUGUAUCCAUUGUGAUAGUCAAUCAGCAAUUAGAAGGGCACAGAGUCAUAUGUAUAAUGGUAAGUCUAGACAUAUUCGUCGUAGACACAACACCAUAAAACAAUUGCUCUCUAACGACAUUAUGUCUAUUGAGUACAUAAAGUCAAAAGAAAAUAUAGCGGAUCCGUUGACUAAAGGUUUGACUAGAGAGCAAGUAAAAAUAACUUCGAGGGGAAUGGGGUUAAAGCCUAUAAACAAGGAUCGUCAUGAUGGAAAUCCAACCUAGUUGACUGGAGAUCCCAAGAUCUAGGUUCAAAGGGACAACUAAAUUGUGAAGGAUUCAACCAAAUCACUAUGAAGAAAUUAAUUUCUUUUGCUCAUUCCUAUGAUACGAGAUAGUGAUACCUGCAGCGGUUACAGGAUAAGCUCUGCUUUUAAUGAUUUUUAAAUCUUGAUAAACAUGUGGAUGUGUGAACUGGGCCAAUUCUAUGAGAAGGAUAAGGCUAUACUUCUCUAAAGCACUCAUAAAUCCGGGAUUGUUCGGGGCCAAAUAAUGUCUAGAAAGAUUCUGUGUGAAUUACUAUUGUCUCGAUUUACACAAACGAUUGGACAGUUCAAGACAUCAUGUUCACUGGACAACCAGUAAACCCGAUAGUUUUCACAAGGGAAGGUUCAAAGUCAAAAGCUACCUCUCUCGAUACAGAUGAUUUCUAAUUUUGUCUCUCUCUCAGAGUCUGCAUAACAUUUGCAUAAGGCUAGCAGUCAAUAUCAUUCAUGUGCGGGAUUGUUGGAAUUUGAGCCUAAAUUAAUGUGGGUAUUAUUAAUUUAUUUUAAUGAUUCCAUACAUUAAUGUGUUCUACUCCAUGAGUAGAUUAAAUUAAGUAUUUGGAAGCUCAAAUCUAUAGAGUAAUGAAUGAGAUAUUAACUCUCAAAGGUCACACUUGAAAGAUAAUAAAUACAUGUGGGAAAACCAAGUCCCACAUAGAUUAGAAUUAAAUAACUUAUAUGUUUAUAUACAAGGAAAGUGCUCUUGGGUUUGGGCCCCAAGGGGCACCCCACUUUUGUGGAAGGGAGAGGACCUAGCUAAGGCUAGGUUCGAACCCACACGCGCGCGCCGCCGCCGCCGUUCGUCCGGCCGGCCUGGCUCGGGCUCGUGGCACGAGGCACGUGGGUCGUGGGUCUGGGUCUGGGUCCUGUAUAUAAUUUUUUUGACAAAAUUUAUUUAAAUUUUUAAUUAAAAUUUAUUUAAAAUUUAUUUAUUUAAUUAUAUUUUGAGGAAGCGGUAUCUGUAAGUUUAAACGGGCGGCCCAAAAAUACGUCGUUUUGUCGCGCCUUUUCUUAUAAGCCUAAAACUACGUAGUUUUGGUUCUGCUAACAGUUAAACUACGUCGUUUUAAUAAACUGAAUAGUUGCGCCUAUUCUAUAAAUGAUCAAAACUACGUCGUUUUGACCAACAGAUACAAAUAAUACCUUUACAAAAGGCACCUCAUGCCUUUUCAGUGGUGAGGUGCCCAUCCAAAGGGUCACCAACCCUCCUAUAAAUAGAUAGGAGGGGGCAGCCUUCAUUUCCAUCGAAUUUUCAAGCAUUCUAGUCUUCUAAAGCAUUCUAGCAUAUAGUUCUUCAUCAGUUUCCUUAGUGUUUUUGAGAGAGAGUCCGAGCAUUUCUUUUGGUUCGUUGUGUAUACUUUUUGUAGUGUUGCUAAGGUAUACGAAGUCAUUGUAUCUUGGGAGACAAGUGUUAUCAACUCUGAGCACCAUAAGGAGGGCAUAAUUGUCUUAAGGACAUAGUACAAAGUACUAGCCUUGACAUAUUACUUUCUACAAGAUAAGUUCAUAUAAAUAUAUAUAUAAUUUCCUUUAUAGGUUUCUAACACAAUUAACAAAAAUGAAACUAACCAGUUAGAUGUCCUUGAAUCCACCAAUUACAAGGUCUCCAAUCUAUAAUCCUUCGAACACUCCAUAUAUCUGAUUUUCCACUGCUUGUGGUAGUGGACCUGAAAUA